GGACGGGUGGCAGAGCGGUUUAAUGUACCUGACUCGAAAUCAGGCGUUGGGGCAACUCAACCGUGGGUUCAAAUCCCACCCCGUCCGCCA
rnacentral:tRNA from 1 species